GAUGAACGCUAGCUACAGGCUUAACACAUGCAAGUCGAGGGGCAUCAUGGCGGUCGCUUGCGACCGCUGAUGGCGACCGGCGCACGGGUGCGUAACGCGUAUCGAACCUGCCGCAUACCCGGGGAUAGCCUUGCGAAAGCAAGAUUAAUACCCGAUGUUCUCACUGUUCCGCAUGUUACGGUGAGCAAAGAAUUUCGGUAUGCGAUGGCGAUGCGUCCCAUUAGCUAGUUGGCGGGGUAACGGCCCACCAAGGCGACGAUCAGUAGCCGGACUGAGAGGUUGGCCGGCCACAUUGGGACUGAGACACGGCCCAG
rnacentral:rRNA from 1 species